GACCUUGUGGUACAAUGGUAGUGUGUCUGACUCCCCCUCAGAAGGUUAUGUGUUAAAAUCAUGUUGUGAUCA
rnacentral:tRNA from 1 species